rnacentral:rRNA from 1 species
GCUUUCUUUAACUUAUUUAAUUAAUUUAAUUUUUUAGUUAAAAAGCUGAAAUUUAUUUAAGGGACGAGAAGACCCUAUAGAUCUUUAUAAUUUAAUUUAUAGUUUAUUAUAGAAAUUUAUUUUUAUUAUAAUUUAACUUAUUUGAUUGGGGUGAUUGUAAAAUAUUAUUAACUUUUAUUUUAUCUAUUCAUUAAUUAAUGUUUAUUUUGAUCCAAAAAUUUUGAUUAAAAGAUUAAGUUACCUUAGGGAUAACAGCGUAAUUUUUUUGGAGAGUUCUUAUCGAUAAAGGAGUUUGCGACCUCGAUGUUGGAUUAAAAUAAGUUUUGGGUGUAGAAGCUUUAAAACUAGGUCUGUUCGACCUUUAAUUUUUUACAUGAUCUGAGUU